UACGUAGGGUCCGAGCGUUGUCCGGAAUUACUGGGCGUAAAGAGCUCGUAGGUGGUUUGUCGCGUUGUUCGUGAAAACUCACAGCUCAACUGUGGGCGUGCGGGCGAUACGGGCAGACUAGAGUACUGCAGGGGAGACUGGAAUUCCUGGUGUAGCGGUGGAAUGCGCAGAUAUCAGGAGGAACACCGGUGGCGAAGGCAGGUCUCUGGGCAUUAACUGACGCUGAGGAGCGAAAGCAUGGGGGAGCGAACAGG
rnacentral:rRNA from 1 species